rnacentral:tRNA from 1 species
AUAUUGGUGGUUCAAUGGUAGAAUUCUUGCCUUCCAUGCAGGAGACCCGGGUUCAAUUCCCAACAAAUGCA